rnacentral:tRNA from 1 species
GGGAUGGCUCAGUGGUUAAGAGCUGCUGGAGAGACGACUACUCUUCCAGAGGACCUGGGUUCAAUUCCCAGCACCCA